rnacentral:rRNA from 1 species
AUUGAACGCUGGCGGCAGGCCUAACACAUGCAAGUCGCACGAGUGGCGGACGGGUGAGUAAUGUCUGGGAACAUGCCUGAUGGAGGGGGAUAACUACUGGAAACGGUAGCUAAUACCGCAUACCAUCAGAUGUGCCCAGAUGGGAUUAGCUAGUGGGGGGGGUAACGGCUCACCAAGGCGACGAUCCAUAGCUGGUCUGAGAGGAUGACCAGCCACACUGGAACUGAGACACGGUCCAGACUCCUACGGGAGGCAGCAGUGGGGAAUAUUGCACAAUGGGCGAAAGCCUGAUGGAGCCAUGCCGCGUGUAUGAAGAAGGCCUUCGGGUUGUAAAGUACUGUCGGCGGGGAGGCGUUACCCGCAGAAGAAGCACCGGCUAACUCCGUGCCAGCAGCCGCGGUAAUUC